AAUAGAUACCCAGGUAGUCCACGCCGUAAACGAUGAGUACUAGCUGUCGGAGGUUACCCCCUUCGGUGGCGCAGCUAACGCAUUAAGUACUCCGCCUGGGAAGUACGCUCGCAAGAGUGAAACUCAAAGGGAUUGACGGGGACCCGCACAAGUAGCGGAGCAUGUGGUUUAAUUCGAAGCAACGCGAAGAACCUUACCUAAGCUUGACAUCCUUUUGACCGAUGCCUAAUCGCAUUUUUCCCUUCGGGGACAGAAGUGACAGGUGGUGCAUGGUUGUCGUCAGCUCGUGUCGUGAGAUGUUGGGUUAAGUCCCGCAACGAGCGCAACCCUUGCCUUUAGUUGCCAGCAUUAAGUUGGGCACUCUAGAGGGACUGCCAGGGAUAACCUGGAGGAAGGUGGGGAUGACGUCAAAUCAUCAUGCCCCUUAUGCUUAGGGCUACACACGUGCUACAAUGGGUGGUACAGAGGGCAGCCAAGUCGUGAGGCGGAGCUAAUCCCGUUAAAGCCAUUCUCAGUUCGGAUUGUAGGCUGAAACUCG
rnacentral:rRNA from 1 species